CCACACACACAUACACAGAGGCGAGGAUUCAUGAGGGCGACUUCUCUCCGUGCGCGGGGCUCAUCGGGCCAACACUCGCAUCCUCGGCUCUUUCCAGCAACCUUAAGUCUCUUCCCUCACCGCCCUUCAGCACCAUAUCCGGCUCUGCGAGCUGUCCGCGUUUCCUUGAUUACGCAGCAGGCAUGCGUGCCGCUUCUCGCACUGCACCGUCAACUCAGCAGUGACGAUGGCUGCCUUCUCCCUCCUACAACUCCUGCGGCCGAGGCCACGGUCGGCAGUGCGGCAGGUGAAGACGACGAUGACGACCUGAAGAUGGACAUCUACCGUCCUCAGCUGACCCCGGAAGAUGCAGAACGGAAAGCGAAAACGGAUCUCUUUUUGUGCCUCGUUCUCACCCUCCCUCGCGAUCAGGACUGGAAAGAUAUGCUGACCGCCGCCUUCCGCGCCGGUACCUGGAAGCCUCACCACCUUAGUGCGGUGCUGCGUGGUGUGCAGCUCAACAGGUAUAAUGAGCCGGCUGUGUGCGCACUGAGCUGUGCAGGCGUCUGCGCCACCUCCUUGCCUUCCUCGUGCACAGCCGCACUUCGACACGCCAUCGCCGAAAUCGCCAAGACCGCCCCUGCGUCCUCGGCACCAUCCACACGGCUGCAGCGCGCCAAGGACAUUUUGGUUUUUUGCGCCGAAGAAGGCGGCGUGUACGCACCGCCAUCUGCUGAGGACUCCCUCGUCGAUGUCUCUACCGCACCGCCGUCACCAGCCGAGGAGGAGACCAGUAGACGCUCUAAAGCCUUUGCGCCAUCGCCAGCGGAUGCUCACCACCUGCUUGUACUCCUCCUGAAGGCAGCGCAGCGAGGCGCCAGUGUGGCGUCGUCUCUUUCAAAGCCGAAUACCCCUACGCAGGCUGUGGCAUCCUUCCACGACGUGUGGAACUUCUUGGCCUGGAUGGAGCUGCACGGAUACCACGUACUCUCCAACGCUGUGCUGGACGCUCUGGAAGUCGUGGUAGACGAAGGCGGGAGUCAGGCCGGAGCUGGGGCUGCGGCGGGACUGACAAGAGCCGCUGGCCCAUCAUCAGCGUCCUCGCCUUUACCUCUUCAAUACGCAAUGGUGUCUCAGCGCGUACACCGGUUGGACUAUCUGCGCAGCGAGCGUGCUCUGCUACAGGAGGCGGUCAAGAAUGCUGAGCAAGGCUCCGGCGGAGCAUCGAUGAGCACUGGAGCUGUUCGAGAGCGACGGCGGCAGCGAGAUGUUCCACGAACUGCUCCUGUGCAUACAGAGUAGCCGUCUUACCUAUUUAAUGGGAGGGAGAGUCAUAUCAUCACGCACACACACAGAGAGAAAAGUGAACGACAUGCAAAACAAGCCCCAACUUUUGGUGCCCCCCCCCGUUAUCGUUCGCUUGUGUGAACAGAGCUGGUGUGGUCCAUUACUUGCUGCUGCCGUCACCUCGCUGUCUGCAGCUCAAUAGUAUACGGCAUGGCUAUGCCGCCGACUCCACGAG
rnacentral:misc_RNA from 1 species